GGCCUGAUGGUCUAGCGGUAUGAUUCUUGCUUCGGGAGUGACAUCUCAGUCCUAUCAUAAGGACUCAGUUUGCGAGAGGUCCCGGGUUCAAUCCCCGGUCAGGCCC
rnacentral:tRNA from 1 species